UACGGAGGGUGCGAGCGUUGUCCGGAAUCACUGGGCGUAAAGGGCGCGUAGGUGGCCCAGGAAGUCGGCGGUGAAAGCCCGGCGCUCAACGCCGGGUCGGCCGUCGAUACUCUUGGGCUCGAGUCCGGAAGAGGCGAGUGGAAUUCCUGGUGUAGCGGUGAAAUGCGCAGAUAUCGGGAAGAACACCCGUGGCGAAGGCGGCUCUCUGGGACGGUACUGACGCUGAGACGCGAAAGCGUGGGGAGCGAACAGG
rnacentral:rRNA from 1 species